rnacentral:rRNA from 1 species
GACGAACGCUGGCGGCGUGCUUAACACAUGCAAGUGGAGCGACGAACCGGGCUUCGGCCCGGGGCAAAGCCGCGAACGGGUGAGUAUCACGUGGGUAACCUGCCCCGAUGACCGGGAUAACCCGAGGAAACUCGAGCUAAUACCGGAUGUGCUCCCAAUCCAUCAGGGUUGGAGGUAAAGGAAGCUUCGGCCUCCGCAUUGGGAUGGGCCCGCGGCCCAUUAGCUUGUUGGUGAGGUAACGGCUCACCAAGGCCACGAUGGGUAGCGGGUCUGAGAGGACGAUAGGCAAGAGUGGGACUGGGACACGGCCCAGACUCCUACGGGAGGCAGCAGUGGGGAAUCUUGCGCAAUGCGCGAAAGCGUGACGCAGCAACGCCGCGUGAGGGAAGAAGGCCUUCGGGUUGUAAACCUCUUUCAGGAGGGACGAAGGUUCAGGCGCGAAUAGCGUCCUGGACUGACGGUACCUCCAGAAGAAGCCCCGGCUAACUACGUGCCAGCCGCCGCCGUAACAC